GACGAACGCUGGCGGCGUGCUUAACACAUGCAAGUCGAGCGGUAAGGCCCUUUCGGGGGUACACGAGCGGCGAACGGGUGAGUAACACGUGGGUGACCUGCCCUCAGCUCUGGGAUAAGCCCGGGAAACUGGGUCUAAUACCGGAUAUGACUCCAUGACGCAUGUUGUGGGGUGGAAAGCCUUGUGCGGCUGAGGAUGGGCCCGCGGCCUAUCAGCUUGUUGGUGGGGUGAUGGCCACCAAGGCGACGACGGGUAGCCGGCCUGAGAGGGCGACCGGCCACACUGGGACUGAGAUACGGCCCAGACUCCUACGGGAGGCAGCAGUGGGGAAUCUUGCGCAAUGGGCGAAAGCCUGACGCAGCGA
rnacentral:rRNA from 1 species